rnacentral:rRNA from 1 species
UACGGAGGGUGCAAGCGUUAUCCGGAUUCACUGGGUUUAAAGGGUGCGUAGGUGGGCUGGUAAGUCCGUGGUGAAAUCCCCGAGCUUAACUCGGGAACUGCCGUGGAUACUAUUAGUCUUGAAUAUCGUGGAGGUAAGCGGAAUAUGUCAUGUAGCGGUGAAAUGCUUAGAUAUGACAUAGAACACCGAUAGCGGAGGCAGCUUACUACGCGAUUAUUGACACUGAGGCACGAAAGCGUGGGGAUCAAACAGG